UGCAGAGAGCCUCUCUCUAAGUGUGGAAAGGGUCAGGAAACGGAGAAGUUUCCAGCUAGCAUCCCCAGCCUGGAUGGAUGAGGCCCUGGCCCCGGCCCCUGCCUCCCUGACCUCCCUUCUCCACUCCUUUCUCACUAGGUCCACCCGGGCCUGUCCAAGGCCACCUCUGGGGCAGUCUUCCCACCACGUCAGCCCAACACAGUGCCCUUGCCUAGGCCCUGAGCCCACAAAGCCCAAAGCCUGGCCACCUCGAAGGGAGGCCAACCCCUCCCUUCUCCCAGAGCCGCCCCCAGACAGUGGCAGAGCAGUGGGCAGAGUUGGGAGGGAGAGAGCCCCCCGCGGGGUGCGGGUGGGGGUCUGGCCCACCCAUCCCAAGCAGGUCAGAGAAGGCGCCGGGAGGGGCCGUGAGCAUGUGAACUGCUGAAGCUGGAGGGAGGCCCAGCAGUGGCCAGUGGAUCCCCAAAGGCCCAGGUGCUCCCAUGGGGGGCUUGGCACAGAUGCUAUUGACAUGGGUCGUGGCAAGAAGGCCUAGGUCUGACCUCAGGUCAGCCGCUAGCAAAGCAGGCGCUGAGAAUCCUUCCCACCCCUGGCAGACCUCAGUCAGAGGCAGUGUGGAGAAAGGAGCCGGUCAAGAAACCCCAGGGCAGGGCCCCAGCCAGGGCUCUCUGAGGGCAAGGCCGGCCACCCACAGCCCGGCAGAUGGUCCACCACAACCAGCACCCCCUAGAGGGAAAGGGAUCCCCUCACACAUCCCCCAACAACACGGAAGAUGUGGGGACUGAGUCUGGCCAUGCCACGAGGUCGCCCAUGACCAGCCCCUCACUUGUCUCUGAGCCUCGUCCAGGAGGCAGGUAGGAAGGCGUGGGCCUCAAGGGGUUAUAAGGGGUCAUGAGACAAUGUGAGUGGAGCACCAGCAUGGGGCCUGACAGGAAGUGCCCCAAAACCUGGGGCCACGAGGCUGGGCGUGAGGAGGCCCGGUGGGAAGGGCACAGGCCUGGGUGCAGAUCCUGGUGGCCUGCAGGCCUGUUUGCCCACGUAUGCUACGCCCGCCCCACAUCAGGGACACGAGAGGGCCCAACACCCAGAAGCCCUGGCCCAUGCUGCCUGUUGGUGCUGCACUGGAGUGAGCCUGCUGGGGACUGCCAGCCGUGUGGCCUUGGGGGACAGCCUACCGAGCCCCUCUGAGCCACGGGCCAAACAGAUGGGGCCAGAAAAGAAGCUGGUCAUACCACCCAGGGUGUCUGGUCCCACCCAGGGGGACUUGUGGGAGAGGGAAGGGGCACACUUGGAACGUGCCAGAAAGGGCUAGAAUAGCAGGGCCGUGGGCAGGCAUAGGGCCUGCCCUGUGGCUGCAGGUAUAUUAAUAGUUCCUGGGUCCCAGCAGGGCGGUGCCCACAUGCCUUCAGAGCCCAUGUGGGGCAGGAAGGCAGCACCAGGCCCACUGGGAGAGGAGGCCUCCAAGUUCCUGCUGAGCCACUCAAUAGCUUAAAAUAUAAGCAGCCCCUCUCCCUGCCGGCCAGCUGCUGGGGGAGGGCUGAAAUCCUACCCCUCUCCCCCAGCCUGGGCACCAGACCAGGGUCCGGGGAGAGUCGGGGGCCCCGACUGGCUGCCGGAGAGGAAGCUGGGUGGCAGGAGGGAUGGCCGGGCGAGGGGCACACUCCCAGCGGCCGCGCCGGGGUCAGUCCCAAGCUGGAGGACGGGAGCCCGCGCCCUCACAGAGGUAAGCCUGGCCCUCCGGGCAGCACCCUGGGGCCCAGCCCACUGGGGUGGGGGUUGCCUCAGCUCAGGGCUGCUGCGGCUGGAUCUGGGGCUGGGUCGGUCAUUUCCCACUUCUCACCCCCUCAUCCCAGGACCCAGCAGCUUUCAUGCUGAGAGAGGUCUCAGAGGCCCUGAGGAGUGAGGGGAAUGUAGGACCCAGGACCUCUCUGUACGAUUUUAUAAUUACUGCAAACUGAAAAGUGAAAUAAAAGUUUAUGCUAGGUGGCAGAAAGAAAGAAAGAAAGAAAGAAAGAAAGAAAGAAAGAAAGAAAGAAAGAAAAGAAAGUUAUGCUAAGUAAAAGAGGCCAGACACAAAGACUCACCAUAUUAUGUAAAGUGUUCAGAAUCGGCAAACCCAAAGAGCCAGAAAGACUGGGUUGCCAGGGGGCUGCGGAAGGGGGAUGGGGAAUGUUGCCUGAUGGGAACCUGGUAUCUUUUAGGGGUGACGGAAACAUUCUAAAACUAAAACGAGGUGGUGGCUGCAGUGGGACAGACAACACUGUGACUACCAAAUGCCACUGCACUAUUCAUUUUUAAUGGUUCAUUUUAUGCGAACUGCACUUCAAUAAAUUAUUUUUAAGGGGGGGGGGGAUGCGCUAAGAAGCAGGCCCCAAUUACCCAUCAAAAGAAAAUGCCCCAGGGCAGGGAGCAGCAAGGGUACCCCACCCCCAUCCACCUCCCAACACUGGGGGCCUAAACAGAGGGGACAUGGUCAUAUGCUUCCCAUUCUUCAGUCCCUCAGCUUACCCACCCACUGCACCCCUUCCCACCCCGCUGUGACCCCAGCCCCUGCUCUGUGCUGAGCAUACCUCCCAUGCCCUGUCUUUCUCUCUCUCUCUCUGUCUCUGUGUCGCCUGCCCAGGCCUGAUGCCAGCCUAGGGUGGGGACCCAGGGUAGGCCUACGCCAGGUCAGACGGUGCAGGCAGCUGCCAAGCACAGCCCUUAGGCAGGGUUCCUGAGCACAGCAGGGUAGGCAGCAGGCCCAGGCCCCAUCCCUGGGGAGAAGACAGGCCUGGGGAAGGGAGGAGAGGUCAGCCCUCCUAAGGGAGCUGGAGGCAGGUGAAGGGCUGGGAGGGGGGUCACUGGCCGGAGGUCCCAGCCGCUGACCAUAGCUAGGGGGGUGUGGCACAGCAGGCUCCGGCACAAUGGAUACAGAGGACAAGGACGGGGCGGACACCCUGGCCUGGGACACGGGAGCACGGCUCUGCGAUGACAGUUCCACUAGCCCGGGAGGAAUUCUCACCCAGGCGCCUGAGAUUCCAGGAUCUGGCCAACAGCAACUCGUGGCACCACGAGGAAGGUGCCAUCAGGCCAAGAAGCUGGAAGAGGCAGGAGACACUGAGCCCUGCAAACACAGGCUGAUGGGAGCAGCAGGAGGAGCCCAUCCAGGAUGACCCCCCACCUGCGUCCAGCACAUCUGGCCCAGUGCGGCAGGCAGGUUAGUUCACCCCAGAAACUUCCGGAAUCGUCCGCUCUGGGACCCCCAUGGCCAGCUUCAUACACAGCAACAGCUAACACCUCCCACAUGCUCACAAGGUGCCAGACACAGAGGCACAUUCUCAACACAAAUUACCUUUUACUAUUAAUCCCCUUUUACAGAUGAGGAAACUGAGGCUCAUUCGUUCACCACAUAAAUACUGAUUGAACAUCUACUAACUGCUACAUGCCAGGCACUGUUAAAGGCUCUGGGAAUUCAGCUGUGGAAAGAGAGACAGAAAUCUUUGCCCAUGUGCAGCUGACAUUUUAGCAGGGGGGGGACAAAGACCAUCAAAUAAAGUUGCACAUAACAUUAGAAGAUAUCAUGUGCCAUAGGAAAAGCAGAGCAGGGAAAGGGGACAGGAAGUGGAAGGUGAAGAGAGGGUGUGCAGUUUUAUACAAACUGGUCAAGAAAGGCCUCCGGAGGAGACCUUGGGACAAGCCCUGAAUGCAGUGGAGGAAAGAGCUGUUGAGAAAUCUGAGGAAAGCAUCCAGGCAGAGAAAUGGCCUGUGCAAAGGCCCUGAGGUUCAGCAUUCUUGGUGUGUUCAAGCAACAGUGCAGAGGACUGUGUGGCUGGAGAGAGUGAGCAAGAAGGGGGCUGGGGGGAGGUAACAGGUUGUGCAGGGUCUCACCCUCCAGAUGAAGACUAUGGCUUCUAUCCCCCCCCCUUUUUUUUUAAUGUUUAUUUUUGAGAGAGAGAAAGACAGAGUGUGAGCAGGGGAGGGGCAGGGAGAGAGGGAGACACAGAAUCCGAAGCAGGCUCCAGGCUCCGAGCUUUCAGCACAGAGCCCGACGCGGGGCUCAAACACUGACCGUGACAUCGUGACCUGAGCUGAAGUCAGACGCUCAACUGACGGAGCCACCCAGGCGCCCCUGGCUUCUAUUCCAAGUGAGGUGAGAACCCUGGAGGAUUCUGGGCAGAGCAGGGAUAUGACCUGACAAGUUCCUAAAGGAUCCAUCUGGACUACAGGGGAGAAAGGGUGGAAGCAGGGAGCCGAGUAAGAAGCUACGGGAAUAAUUCUGUCAGGAUAAAAGAUGUCUUAGACCCAAGGGUCGGCCAACUAUGGCCCAGAGGCCAAUUCUGGUCCACCGCCUGUUUCUGUACAAACUAAAAUCGUCCUUAUACUUUUAAAUGGUUGGGAAAAAAAAUCAGAAGACUAUUGCGCAGCACAAGGACAUGACGUGAAAUUCAAACUUCAGGAUCCACAAAGCUGUAUCACAGGAACAAGGUCAUGGCUCACUGAUUGUUAAUGUAUCAUCUACGGCUGCUUUGUUGUUGUUUUUUUUUUUUUUACAACUAUCGAGUUGAGAAGAUGUCACAGGAGCUGUAUGGCCCACAAAGCCCACAGUAUUUCCCGUCUGGCCCUUCACGGAUAAAGCCUGCCAACCCCUGGCCUGGGCCUGGUGAUGGUGGGGGGCUGAUGACAAGUGGCCGCAUUCCAGCUGUACAGUGAAGGCUGAGCUGCAGGGUUCGCUGACUUGGACACGAGACGUGGGAGAACAAGCAGAGCCAGAGCCUCGGGGCUGGGUGAUGAGAAGGCUGGAAGUGCCGUUAACUGGAGGGGGGACACGCAGUUUGUGGGCAGUCUGGAGCUCAGGUCGGGACAUUACUAAGUCUGAAAUGCCCAUUAAA